GGUAAAAUGACUGAGAUUAAUAAGGUGAUGGAUUGUAAAUCUAUUAAGAGGAGUUAUCCUUUUUACCA
rnacentral:tRNA from 1 species